UCCUCUGGAUUGUAAACUUCUUUUAUAGGGGAAGAAAUCUGAAUAUUCCUAUUCAGUUGACGGUACCCUAGGAAUAAGCACCGGCUAACUCCGUGCCAGCAGCCGCGGUAAUACGGAGGGUGCAAGCGUUGUCCGGAUUCACUGGGUGUAAAGGGUGCGCAGGCGGAUUGGUAAGUCAGGGGUGAAAUCUCACGGCUUAACCGUGAAAUUGCCUUUGAUACUGCCAAUCUUGAGUUCGGGAGAGGUCGAUGGAAUUCCAGGUGUAGCGGUGAAAUGCGUAGAUAUCUGGAAGAACACCAGUAGCGAAGGCGGUCGACUGGCCCGUAACUGACGCUCAGGCACGAAAGCGUGGGUAGCGAACAGGAUUAGAUACCCUGGUAGUCCACGCCCUAAACGAUGUAUGCUUGGUGUCGGCUCUUUCGAGUCGGUGCCGUAGGUAACCUGAUAAGCAUACCACCUGGGGAGUACGCUCGCAAGGGUGAAACUCAAAGGAAUUGACGGGGGCCCGCACAAGCGGUGGAGCAUGUGGAUUAAUUCGAUACUAACCGAAGAACCUUACCCACUCUUGACAUUGAAGGAAAGGCCUAGAGAUAGGUCCCUCGCCCACAAGGCGACCUGAAAACAGAUGUUGCAUGGCUGUCGUCAGCUCGUGCCGUGAGGUGUACGGUUAAGUCCGCCAACGAGCGCAACCCUCGUCUUGU
rnacentral:rRNA from 1 species